CAACAACAACAACAAAAAACACUGUGGCAAGAAAUAACUUACAUUUGAUCACAUUCCAGGACUUCAAAAUAACUUUAUUUAUCUUAUAUUUGAUCACAUUCCAGGACUUCAAAAUAACUUUAUUUAUCUUAUAUAUGAUCACAUUCCAGGACUUCAAAAUAACUUUAUUUAUCUUAUAUAUGAUCACAUUCCAGGACUUCAAAAUAACUUUAUUUAUCUUAUAUAUGAUCACAUUCCAGGAAUUCAAAAUAACUUUAUUCAUAUUUUACAGUAUAUGAUCACAUUCCAGGACUUCAAAAUAACUUUAUUUAUCUUAUAUAUGAUCACAUUCCAGGACUUCAAAAUAACUUUAUUUAUCUUAUAUAUGAUCACAUUCCAGGAAUUCAAAAUAACUUUAUUCAUAUUUUACAGUAUAUGAUCACAUUCCAGGACUUCAAAAUAACUUUAUUCAUAUUUUACAGUAUAUGAUCACAUUCCAGGACUUCAAAAUAACUUUAUUCAUAUUUUACAGUAUAUGAUCACAUUCCAGGACUUCAAAAUAACUAUGAUACAGUAUAUUGUAGCACUCCGUUUUAGCUAACUCAUAGUAGCUCUACUAUUCCAUUAACUUUCCCAAGAUGUCCCCAGGUGUUCUAGAAAUCCUGCUUGGAAGAUCCCGUGAAUUUAAACGGAAUAAACAGGAGUCCUGUGAGUCCUCUAACCAGGAUAUCUGUAAAAUGUGGGCUGUGGGAAAGUGCGUGUCAUUUUGAUGGCCUAUUUCCAGCUAGCUGUAAUACAACAGGACAGAUUGCCUCAGCAUUUCAGAAGCUUUCACCUGUCUGCUUUUACUGUUGGUUAAUAUUUCAUCCACUUCCUCUGUUAGAAUCCCCACGCUGACACACACACACACACACACACACACACACACACACACACACACACACACACACACACACACACGCCAGAGAGCUUUUAUUCUGCACUUAGAGGCCUUGCGAGGGAGGUGGGUGGAGGUUAGGAAGUUGUACUGAGUGUCGUGAUGUGAUCAGUGAAAUGAAAAAGCGUGUCUCUUGUCUCUCCCACAGGACACAGUGUCUCGUACUGGGUCAUACGUUAGACUCUUGAUGUAAUUGCUAACAGAGUUAGCUCUGAGAGGAUUUGAUUGGUGUUAGCAAUAAAAGGGGCAAACUUCCUACCUAGCCUAUCAGAGGGCAAGGCGGGAGCUAUUACCAUAUUGCGUACACCUGUCAAAUCCACUCAGAUCUCCAUAAGUGAAUGGGACGUAGAGUUUAGAGGUCCAUUUGGUGAUUGUGUAUUAACACUGAUAGAGGAGGGGGGCUCACCUCACCUCC
rnacentral:lncRNA from 13 species